rnacentral:rRNA from 1 species
CGGGGGGAGCAAGCGUUGUUCGGAUUUACUGGGCGUAAAGGGCGCGUAGGCGGCCACCGCAAGUCAGUUGUGAAAUCUCUGGGCUUAACCCAGAAAGGUCAACUGAUACUGCGGGGCUAGAGUGCAGAAGGGGCAACUGGAAUUCUCGGUGUAGCGGUGAAAUGCGUAGAUAUCGAGAGGAACACCUGCGGCGAAGGCGGGUUGCUGGGCUGACACUGACGCUGAGGCGCGAAAGCUAGGGGAGCGAACGGGAUUAGAUACCCCGGUAGUCCUAGCCUUAAACGAUGAAUGCUUGGUGUCUGGGGUUAUAUAGUCCCCGGGUGCCGUCGCUAACGUUUUAAGCAUUCCGCCUGGGGAGUACGGUCGCAAGACUG